CGGCAUCAAAUAGAGUCGACUAUGGUCAGAUUGAACGCUGGCGGGAUGCUUACAUGCAAGUCGAACGGCAGCACGGACUUCGGUCUGGUGGCGAGUGGCGAACGGGUGAGCAAUGUAUCGGAACGUGCCUAGCAGCGGGAUAACUACGCGAAAAGCGUAGCUAAUACCGCAUACGUCUUCGGGGAAAGCGGGGACCUUCGGGCCUCGCACUAUUAGAGCGGCUGAUAUCGGAUUAGCCAGCUGGUGGGUAACGGCUCACCAAGGUGACGAUCCGUAGCUGGUUUGAUAGGACGACCAGCCACACUGACCGGAGACACGGCCCAGACUCCUACGGGAGGCAGUGGGAAUUUUGACAAUGGGAAAACUCCUGAUCCAGCCAUCCCCGCGUGCGAUGAAGGCCUUUCGGGUUGUAAGCACUUGUGGUGAAGAAAACAAGGCGGUACGGCACAUCACCUCCUGUGCAACUGACGGUACCUGUAGAAUAAGCACUGGCUAUCUGAUGCGCCAGCAGCCGCGGUAAUACGUAGGGUGAAGCUGUGUUAAUCGGAAUUACUGGCGCAAAAGCGCAGAAGUGGUCUUCGGAAAGAAAGAUGUGAACCUAGAGCUUAACUGGGAACUGGUACUUUAACUACCGAGCUAGAGGGUGUCAGAGUGGAGGUGAAUUCUGCGUGUAGCAGUGAAAUGCGUAGAUAUGUGGAGGAACACCGAUGGCGAAGGCAGCCUCCUGGGAUAACACUGACGCUCAUGCACGAAAGCGUGGGGAUAAACAGGAUUAGAUACCCUGGUGGUGUCCACGCCCUAAACGAUGUCAACGGUUGUUGGGGCCUCGGGCCUGUAGGCGCAGCUAACGCGGUGAAGUUGACCGCCCGGGGAGUACGGUCGCAAGACUAAAACCCAGCGAAAUCGAUUUGGGACCGCACAAGCGGUGGAUGAUGUGUGGAUUAAUUGACAACGCGAAAACCUUACCUACCUUGACAUGUCUGCUGGAAUCCCGAAGAGAUUGGGAGUGCUCGCAAGAGAACCGAACACAGGUGCUGGCCGGCUGUCGUCAGCCUGUGUCGUGAGAUGUUGUUAAGUCCUGCAACGAGCGCAACCCUUGUCAGCUAGUUGCUACGAGCGCACUUAAUGACUGCCGGUGACAAACUGGAGGAAGGUGGGAUGAUGCCAAGUCCUCGCGCCCUUUAUGUGGGUAGGGCUUCACACGUCAUACAAUGGUCGGGACAGAGGGUCGCCAACCCGCGAGGGGAGCGCCAAUCCCAGAAACCGAUCGUAAGUCCGGGAUCGCAGCCCGGUAACUCGACUGCGUGAAGUUUUCCUGAAUCGCUAGUAAUCGCGGAUCAGCAUGUCGCGGUGAAUACGUUCCGGUCUUGUACACACUGCCCGUCACACCAUGGGAGUGGGUUUACCAGAAGUAGUUAGCCUAACCAAGAGGGCGAUUACCACGGGUAGGAUUCAUGACUGGGGUGAAGUCGUAACAAGGUAG
rnacentral:rRNA from 1 species